CGGCUGUCACGGCCAAUGACCAUACGACACGUGCUCCCCAUCUCGCCCGUCAAAACGAACCGCCUCAUCUCAGCCGUCCACUACCCCAAGCCAGACCAUAAAUACCUUUGCUCCCUCCAAUUAUUCAUGGACGAGGCACAAGCAAACCCUAGCCGCGUUCCCCCCUCCCCUGCACGCAACCUCCUCGCCGGUUCCUCUCACCCAGAUCUCUCCAAUAAAACUCCUUCACUUCCAUGGCGAUCCGUGCGGUUUGCCGAUCAAAUCCGCCACUUCGUUCGCGGAACGGUGAGGUCCUCUGUUUCGAUUUGUGCUAAGCAAAUCCGUUUGUUUCCUGAUGCGCAGGUUCCGAUCUGUGUUACGGCUUCAAGCGAGAUGCGAUGGCGCAGAUCUGCGCAUCGAAGCUGUGGAUCUGCACGUAUGACCCGUUGUGUCGCAGAUCGAUCUGGCGCGAGCCGCGGCGUGGUUGGGAUGCUCCGUUCCGAGCGGGCUUGAGGCGACGAGGAGUUACGAAGCGCGUGGCCGGUCGGCGGGGUCUCUUCCUUCUGUUCCACCUCGCGGGAUGAUCUCUCUUUGUACUGAUAAUUAUUCGAUGAAUUUCGAUAAUUAUUAGAUCUAAGAGAUGUUAAUCGGAGCGAGCCGUGCCGAGUCGAAGGUGAGGUAAGGGGAAGUAUGUAACAGUCGUCGGCGUGUGUCGCGAGGGCAAAAAAAAAGUGAAAAAAAGAGAUGUGACAUCCUCUAGAGAGGCCUUUGCCAUGAUGGGUGCGCUCGCAUGGCAGGCCGCCGUAAUACAAAAGAUGAUUCUUGUGUCUCGGUGGGGAGAUCGCACGGGGGUUGAUAUUUUUGGCCCCGGGUUCUCCCCCCUCCUGGUGUCCCUGUGCCCGUCUUCCUCUGUGUUCCAUGCUCGUCUUGCGACCACCACAUGUUUCAUCGAUCGCGCGUCAAACGUGGAGCUACAGCGCAACACCCCAAGGUACAACUGAUAAUUUAAACAUGCAAUAUGCAUAGCACUAGACCAAAUUGUUUAAGUAAAUUCUUGUUAUUGUGCGCAAUGUUCAAGAAAUCCUGAAACGCCUAUGCAUAAUUACCUCUGCACUACCUCCAAUCCCUGCCCAUUUAUAUAUUGAAGGUCAUAGUUAUGUGACGGUUAUUUGACAUCCAAAACUAGAUGACGAAUUUGUUCAUAUUUUUUAAUAAAACCUGAAGUACAAUAUCUGUUGUAGCAUAAAUCAUAUUAGAAACAAAGAAAUAUUGUAUUCAGCUGUCGUCUAAAGAUUCAAGUUUCAAGUUGUGCUCGUAAGCUCCGUUGCUCUCAUCGAAACUUGGUUUAACCAUUCGACGUCCAUGACAACAGGAAUUUCUCUAUCUGAUACCUAAGAAUCCUUGAUUCGAGAUAACAAAAAAUGCACCAUCUUGCCUUCUCUAUCGUUGUGCAAGUGUUAUGACCCGGUGUUGUGGUUCUAUUGCAAUGUUUUUUUUUGUCUCGAUACAAUUUGUUUGGUCUCAAGUGCUACUUUAAUAAUUUUGUUUGGCAUACGAUUUCAUUGCACAUGUUGGUUCGAAAUUCUUUUGGGUUUUUAGACAGUUGUAUGUUAUUUGUUAGUACUUCAACAGAGUUCUGCAACUGUUAUGCCUUGUUUAAUCCUUAGCAUGUAUAUGCAAAUUGUUGGGCUUGUAAACAGUUGCAAAAUUGCUGUUCUAUGGAUUCAAUAGUUGGAUCUUGUAUUGGAGUCCUUGGUACAAGAUAAUUGGCUGCAUAGGAGUUUCUUUGGGCUUAUGCUGAUGGAGCGUGGUGAUGAUUCCCAGAAAACUCUGUAUACGGAUGCUGGUUCUGUUGCCCGGUGGUCCUUCAAGCCAGCACCCAGGUGUUGUUACUCCCGCUAUUGCAGUAUAUUCAUCUGACUCGUUAUUUCGUUGCUGUUGUGGACCGUAAUCCGUAUGUGGCCUGGACUGUAGAUUUUAUAUUGUGGAUAAUUUAUUCUUUGUCUGUUAAUGUCUCCACCUAUUUAGAAGUUAUAGUUGUCUUACCUGGAGAUCAAUUUCAUUGCCAACGAUUGUAAUACUACCCCUUCUGAGUGAGGCAUCAAUUUGAAGGAGGUUUGGAUUUCA